rnacentral:rRNA from 1 species
ACUCAAAUGAAUUGACGGGGGCCCGCACAAGCGGUGGAGUAUGUGGUUUAAUUCGACGCAACGCGAAGAACCUUACCGGGGUUGGAACUGCACUCGCAGGUUUCGGAGACGGGACGGUCCCUUCGGGGACGGGUGCGGAGGUGCUGCAUGGCUGUCGUCAGCUCGUGUCGUGAGAUGUUGGGUUAAGUCCCGCAACGAGCGCAACCCUUGUCCCCAGUUGCCAGCAGGUAAAGCUGGGCACCCUGGGGAGACUGUCGGCGAAAAGCCGGAGGAAGGUGGGGAUGACGUCAAGUCCUCAUGGCCUUUAUGCCCCGGGCUACACACGUACUACAAUGGGAGGUACAAAGGGCGGCCAGCCCGCGAGGGGGCGCGAAUCCCAAAAAACCUCCCUCAGUUCGGAUUGCAGUCUGCAACUCGACUGCAUGAAGGUGGAAUCGCUAGUAAUCGCAGAUCAGCAGGCUGCGGUGAAUACGUUCCCGGGCCUUGUACACACCGCCCGU